rnacentral:lncRNA from 10 species
GUGUCUCCUUAAGAACCCAUCAAAGUCAUUACUAUUACUCUCACUUUCCACAGAGGGAAACAGAAGCUGAGAAUAAUUAUGUGACUUAUCCAAAAUAACACACCUAAUAAUCUAUGACGUACACAUAAGACAAUUAUAAAGCAACACCUGAAUGAUAUGAUAUUGACUAUAAGUAAGGGGAUCAAGAAGAAAAAUGAGAGUGUGAGAUGCAUUGAGCAAAUUAAGCUGGCCCGGAAGCCUAGGUGAAAAAAAGGUGGUAUAAAUAGUGUAAAUCCAGCACACAUUGAUGGGGUAGAUAUUGUGUUAUAAAUACAAACAAGUUUCAAGAUCCUUUUGGGUAAGAGAAUGCCAAAAACUCCUUAGAGCCAUUGAUACCCAGGAAAUUAAAGUGUAGGAAAUCUCCAUGGUCAUAAAUACACAAAUGGUAAAUAUUGCCUGUACAUCUCAAGGGAAGGGGGUUAAAAAGGAAGGGGACCCGGCUUACUCUGACUCUUACUCAUUUCACAUGGAGGGAGUAAUUACUUUUUGUUUUCUUUUACUCACUGUGUGAAACAAAAUCAAGGUUUCUUUCCCUUAAGUAGGUCUGAGUUUUUUAGAGGCUCUUUGUUGCAUCAGCUAGUCAGGCCCAUGUAACUGUGGAAAUGAUCUUUGUGUAAUGGGGAAUCUCAAACACAUCAGGAAAAAAUGAAAAACAACAACAGAGAAAUAAAAGAAAGUCUAAAAAGUGCUGUAGUAAACUUCCCUCUAUUACUUGCACCUUAAAAUAAAGAAAUCCAUUCAAAAAUUUGAUGGGGAAUCUGAAAGACAUCAGAACAAAUGAAAAACAACAACAGAGAAAGAAAAUAAAGUCCAGAAAGUGCUGUAGUAAACUUCCCUCUAUUACUUGUACCUUAAAAUAAAUAAAUCCAUUUAAAAAUUUAACAUGCAAAUGAUAGUACCCUUUUCAAUAAAAAAGUAGUCCCCAGUAUUGUCAUGAAAGAAAGAUAAUAAUUCUAAAUGGUCACAUAUCAUUUUUUAUUACAUACAAGUGGUACAUUCAAUACAAGAAUAUCACAGCCAAAUAUACCAUAAUGAGAAAACACAGGCACACUAUGCGCACACUCCAUUUUAUUAUUAUGAUUUCUUUGCAACUAUCUCAUAUUUAGAGGAGACAUCUCUCAUGCUAAUGUGCAAUCUUUCCGCUUUAGGACAAGAUAUUCCAUGGAUGGCAGCGAUAUAAAAAUAACAAAACUAGAAAGAAGGAAGGAAGGAAGGAACGAAGGAAGGGGAAGGGAAGGAAAGGGAAGGGAAGGGAAGGAAGGAAAGGAAGGAAAGGA